UUAGAAAACCAUGUCAGCAAGCUCAGAAGCUGAGCUUUCAGGGCGACACCAGGGCUCCAGCUUGCUUUAUUUUAAGACUCUCUUACCUUUUUUGCUGAAUGAAGGGCUCACAGAUCACAACUCUGCCUUCCGAUGGUAAAGCAAAUCCAAUGGCCACUGCAGGGUACACUUACGUAAAAACUGCCAAGCAUGGAACAAAGGACACUUUCAGAAGAUUAUUUAUUUAUACUUCAUGAAUUUUGAGCAAAGGUUUUGUGCUUCAGCCCAUGUGAAAGAUAACUCCAUCAGGUGUGUUAUCUAAAAUAUAGAAGUUGCACAUUGAAGUUGCAUAUUGAAUAAGAAGCAAAUGAAAUACCAGUGGAUUCAUAUGCACACUGCACUGUAGGUAGGGAAGCCAAUAAUAUGAGGUUUCUUCAUUUUUCUUUCUUGCUGCUUUUCUUUUGGUGUUUUC
rnacentral:lncRNA from 1 species